CGCCUCUCUCGUGUUAACCCUCCGCUCGUGUUUAGAGUUCUACCUGAGAAUAUAAACUAUUUAAAGAGCCGCAGCAGUGGUGGCUCGUCUCGGCCGUGAAGUCCAGUGAAGAGCAUUUCUAAUUGAGGUUGCACUGUACGUCGUGUUGUUGGGAGUCUGCGUUGCCAGUGUAGACCCAGGGAGAGAGUCUGCGUGUGGAGAGACGACCAGGGGGGAAAUUAGGCAGAGCUCAGCAGCAGCGAAGUGCAGAGCGAGGGAAGGGUUGGAGACACACCAGUGCCAUGUCUUCUGGAUGUUUCCUGGUUUACGCAGAUGGAGUCAGGUACAGGAGAGUUGGGUCACAGCUGUGACCUUACGUUAUCACAAACCACAGUAGGAACAGCAGCCCUCACAUUCUUACCCGUUCCCCUCCCUACCCUGUGAACCUGGACAUACUAUACAAAGACAUGGAUACAAAACACACGAGACACACAAGGAAUUAGACAGCGGACAGGGCACAGAUAACAUAGAGUCAUACAGCAAAAAAUAUAUAAAAGAAAUAUAUAAACAAAGGUAUGGCUAUUAUACACAGUAUUGGUAAGAGCUGGACAACAAACUGUCCAUG